rnacentral:rRNA from 1 species
AACGCAGCGAAGGGCGAUAAGUAAUGCGAAUUGCAGAAUUCAGUGAGUCAUCGAAUCUUUGAACGCACAUUGCGCCCCGUGGUAUUCCGCGGGGCAUGCCUGUUCGAGCGUCAUUUCAACCCUCAAGCUCUGCUUGGUAUUGGGCCGUACCGGUAACGGUAAGCCCUAAAAUCAGUGGCGGUGCCGUCUGGUACUAAGCGUAGUAAUUCUUCUCGCUAUAGUUUCCCGGUGGUAUCUGGCUAGGAACCCCCAAUUUUCUAUGGUUGACCUCGGAUCAGGUAGGGAUACCCGCUGAACUUAA